AAGUCGUAACAAGGUCUCCGUUGGUGAACCAGCGGAGGGAUCAUUACAGAGUGUAAAAACUCCCAAACCAUUGUGAACCUACCUAUUUGUUGCUUCGGUGGGCGGGCCUCUCUGGGGUCCCCAGGCCGCAAGGCGCCCGCCGGAGGUAAUCUAAACUCUUGUUUUCAGACCUGUCUUCUGAGUAUACAAACAAAAUAAUCAAAACUUUCAACAACGGAUCUCUUGGCUCUA
rnacentral:misc_RNA from 1 species